GCUCUCUUUGGUAACGCAUAUACCAAAAUUGGAACCAUACAGAGAAGAUUAGCAUGGCUCCUGCAGAAGAACGACAUUGCAAAUUCAUGAAGUGUUCUAUAUUUUU
ensembl:snRNA U6 U6 spliceosomal RNA